rnacentral:rRNA from 1 species
AUGGACGUUAAGACGGCUUUCCUCAAUGGAGAGUUGAAGGAGGAAAUUUACAUGGAUCAGCCAGAUGGUUUUGUAGUACCUGGUCAGGAAGAAAAGGUGCGCAAGUUAUUAAAGUCUUUAUAUGGCCUUAAACAAGCUCCUAAGGAGUGGCAUGAGAAGUUCGAAAGAACAUUAACCGCUGCCGGCUUUGUAGUAAACGAUGGUGACAAGUGCGUGUACUAUCGCUAUGGUGGGGGCGAAGGAGUUAUUCUUUGUCUGUAUGUCGACGACAUAUUGAUCUUUGGAACCAAACUUGAUUUAAUCAAGGAGGUUAAGGAUUUCUUAUCUUGCUGUUUUGAGAUGAAGGAUCUAGGAGUAGCUGAUGUUAUCUUAGACAUCAAGCUGUUGAGAGAUGAGAAUGGUGGGAUCACACUGCUUCAGUCUCAUUAUGUGGAAAAGGUCUUGAGUCGUUUUGGGUAUAGCGACUGCACGCCUUCUCCAACUCCAUAUGAUGCUAGUGUGUUGCUUCAAAAGAAUCGACGGAUUGCUAGAGAUCAACUGAGGUAUUCUCAGAUUAUUGGCUCGCUUAUGUAUUUGGCGAGUGCCACGAGGCCUGACAUCUCUUUUGCUGUGAGCAAGCUGAGUCGGUUUGUGUCAAAACCGGGAGAUGAUCAUUGGCAUGCGCUUGAGAGAGUUAUGCACUAUUUGAAAGGCACCGCGAGCUAUGGGAUUCACUACACCGGGUAUCCAAGGGUACUGGAGGGUUAUAGUGACUCAAACUGGAUAUCUGAUGCUGAUGAGAUUAAGGCCACAAGUGGUUAUGUUUUACACUUGGUGGUGGCGCUGUUUCCUGGAAGUCUUGCAAGCAGACCAUCUUAA